rnacentral:rRNA from 1 species
AGUGAACGCUGGCGGUAGGCCUAACACAUGCAAGUCGAACGGCAGCACAGGAGAGCUUGCUCUCUGGGUGGCGAGUGGCGGACGGGUGAGGAAUACAUCGGAAUCUACUCUGUCGUGGGGGAUAACGUAGGGAAACUUACGCUAAUACCGCAUACGACCUACGGGUGAAAGCAGGGGAUCUUCGGACCUUGCGCGAUUGAAUGAGCCGAUGUCGGAUUAGCUAGUUGGCGGGGUAAAGGCCCACCAAGGGUACGAUCCGUAGCUGGUCUGAGAGGAUGAUCAGCCACACUGGAACUGAGACACGGUCCAGACUCCUACGGGAGGCAGCAGUGGGGAAUAUUGGACAAUGGGCGCAAGCCUGAUCCAGUCAUACCGCGUGGGUGAAGAAGGCCUUCGGGUUGUAAAGCCCUUUUGUUGGGAAAGAAAUCUAGCUGGCUAAUACCCGGUUGGGAUGACGGUACCCAAAGAAUAAGCACCGGCUAACUUCGUGCCAGCAGCCGCCGUAA